rnacentral:snRNA from 1 species
AGCUUUGCGCAGUGGCAGUAUCGUAGCCAAUGAGGUUUAUCCGAGUCGCGAUUAUUGCUAAUUAAAAAGUAGAUCUGGACUAGCAUGUGACUCAGUGGUGGAGUACUUGCCCAGCAAGCACGAUUCCCCGAGUUUGAUCCCCAGACCCCAAAUUUUUUUUUCAAAGA